AACAGACCAACCCUUGAAGGCUUCUGCACCUGUCAGGAUAUUCUAGUCCAACAUCGAGGUCACAAACCUUUUUUUCGAUGGGAACUCUCAAAAAAGAUUAUGCUGUUAUCCCUACGGUAACUAAUUCUUUUAAUCGUAAUAAAUACGGAUCUAGAUUUAGAUAUUUUUAUAAAUAAAAGAAGCUUUAAUUGUUCCUUAGUCGCCCCAACCAAAAUUUUUCAUGAAAAGAAAUGUAUAAUACUUUCUUUAUAUCAUAAAUGACUUUUAAGCUCGAUAGGGUCUUCUUGUCUUUUAAUUCUAUCUAAGUUUCUUCACUUAGAAAAUAAAUUCCAGGGAUUUCUAUAGAGACAGGGUCGCCCUUGUCAAACCUUUCAUACUAGCCCUCAAUUAUAGGGCAAAUGAUUAUGCUACCUUUGCACGGUCAGAGUACCGCGGCCGUUAAAUACUA
rnacentral:rRNA from 1 species